GUUUUUCCUAAUUUUUUAAUAUUAGAAAUUAUGUUCUGUUGAAUAUUCUCCUAUGUAUCCUUAAUUAUUUGACAUGUCGUAUUUUUUCUCUAUAUGUAGAUGAAUGUAGACAUGUUGUAUUUUAUUGUUUAUUCAUUUAUUUAUUUUCAAGAUGGUAUCUUACUGUGUCACCCAGGCAGGUGUGCAAUGGUGUGAUCUUGGCUCGCUGCAACCUCUGCCUCCUAGGUUUGAAUGAUUCUCCUGCCUCAGCCUCCCAAGUAGCUGGGACUACAGGUGCCCACCACCAUGCCUGGCUCAUUUUUUGUAUUUUCAGUAGAGACAGAGUUUCAGCAUGUUGGCCAGGCUGGUCUCAAACUCCUCCUGGCCUCAAGUGAUCUGCCGCCUCAGCCUCCCAAAGUGUUGGGAUUACAGGUGUGAGCCACCACACCUGGCCUGGACAUGUUGUAUUUUAAAAGUCAGUAAUCUUAUAUUAAUGUUAAAAUGUGGUGUUCCAAAUUUCAGUGUUAUGAGCACUGAUUAGGUUCCCAGGCUAUCAUUAAUUUAAUACACAUUGUAGCUAAGAUAGGAUUUUGAUACUAUUAUAUUAUAGUGGAUUCAUCUGUGUCCUCCCCAUCCCCCAAAUAUGUUCAAGUCCUAAACUCCUGUACUUGUGAAUGUGACUCUAUUUGGAAAAGGGUUUUUGCAGGCAUAAUCAAAUCAAGAUGAGGUCAUACUGGAUGAGGACAGGCUCUAGAUUCAGUGACUCUUAUCUUCAUAAGAGACUUGGACACAGAGGGAAGAAGAUCAUGUGAGGACGGAGGCAGAGGUUGGCAUUAAGCUUCCACAAGCCAAGGAAUGCCUGGACCCAUCAAAAGUUGGAAAAGGCAAGAAAAGAUUCUCUUCUAGCACCUUCGAUGGAGUGUGGCCAUGCUGACACCUCAGUUUCAGAAUUUUGGCCUCCAGAAUGGAGAAGAGUCUUGACAACAUUCAACAAAUACUCAGCGUGAUGGCACGGAAACAGAAAGAGCUGUGUGGCCAGGACUGUCUGAUGGACUGCAACCUUCCUUUGAGGGCUGCAUUUACCCACGGUGAAUACAUAGCUUACUCGACCUCCUUCCUCCCUCUGCUCUUUUGCUAGUGUUUGCCAACGGCAGACUCUUAACUGGAAGCCAGAAGGUAAGGGAGCUCACUGAUGAAGCCUGCACUGGUCAACUUUUUGGGCAUAGAGCAGAGUGAGAGAGUGGAUCAGAUGGGAGAUAUCCAUCCCAUGCACAUUUCUGAACACUGCGGUUCCUGCGGCUGAGGGAAAUUAGUGUGUCAUUGGUUAACCAGGGAUGGAGCUGACAAUGAGGCCAGGCUUAUCUCAACUAAAUGAGCUGUGUGUGUGUGCACAUGUGUGCAUGUGCAUAUCACAGCAGACCUUCAUAACAGACCUGUCAUGUGAGUGCAGUUAUGUUUCCCAGGUCAUCAAUAAGGCAACUGAAACAAGCAUGGUUAGGUCACCUACCCAAGGUCACAAAGUCUCACAAGCUUAGUAAGUAUGAGUCCACUGCUUACUUACACAAAUGAGGAUAAGGAGAGACUAUCAGAGUUUCAGGGAAACCAAGAGGGAAGCAGCGAAGAGACACUUACAAUGGCAAAGAAAAAAAUCCCUGGGAAAUUGCUGGUUGUCCUGAAAAUACAUCAUGGUGUGUUACCAGUUAAAGAGAGAGAGGAUCCUGGGCUGGAAAAAAUAGCAGGAGACCACCAUGGGGCAAAUGCAUUUCUCUUGACUUGUGCUUAUUCUAACCAGGCUUGAAGACACACUGAUACUUCUCCUAGGUCUUCUCCUGGCAAGACUGAAGUGAACCCUGAUUGGCCAAGGUGGCCCUGGUUGCUGAGGCUCAGCCUCCUCACCUUAUGUGGAUUUGUUCAUGACCCCCAGUGCAAAGUUCCCUGGAAAACAUGCUCCCCAUGCUGAUGGCUUGGCCUGAUCCACAAGCUUCAAUCUGAGUUGACCUUUGGCUCCCCAUUGGCUGCCACCAAGCCUUGCCCCUUCCAGGCCAGUGUGCGUUGUUCUUCUCCCAUCAUUUGAUACCCAAUUCCAGUUCUUUCUCUCCAUCCCCAAUUUUAGACCAGAUAACAACUUUUAACUGUUUUCCAUUCCAUGGGCUAUUUCUCAUUUAGGUGCUCAGAUCCAGAAUCCCAGUGAUCCGUAAUAAAGCCAAAUUUUUGAGCUAAUUGCCUUUGAGGAUGCUACUUUUCUGUUGGUGCUGCAAGAUGGAAUUUUAGAGACUCUAACUCUAGGCAGCUCCCCUUUCUCCUCACUUCCCCCUUCCAAUAUCAUGCGCUCUCCCAGGGCUCAGUAAAUUACACUAUCACAGCCCACCCUGCAGUGGUCACUUGGCAAAGAAAGGUGCUUCUGAUGGUGGUCGCAGAGGAGUGUCACAGAGGAAAGGCAAACAGGAAGGGAGAGAAGACCAUGGAGAGAAAAUAUUCUUUAAUUCUGAGCUUUGUUGAUGUAGAAACUUCAAACUCUAGACCAAAAAGUUCCCCAGAAUCUUACCAACUUGUACCCCAUUCUCCUCCCUGUCCUUUCUCCUCCUGGCAUCCCCCACCAGGGAGGAACAAAUGGGAAUUGCGCACUUAAAGAACAUGGGGAAAAGGAGACAUUCUUUCUCAGGAAGACAGCAAAACCCCUGUCAUUAUUGACAUAAUGCACUGAGUAUGUAUCCGUAAUACAAUCAUAAAAUAUUCUGUCUUAGGAGAGAGCCUGUGUGCUUGCUGCACUUGUUGCUAUGGCAGCUGGACAGUUUUAAUAACUGCAAAUCACAAGUCUUUGGCUCAUAGGGUCUUUUUUUUUUUUUUUUUCCAGGACCAGCAGUAAUUUCCCAGGGACGUUUUUUCUUUGCCAUUGUAAGUCUCUCUUGGACUGCUCCCCUCUUGGUUUCUCUGAGACUCUGAUAGUUUCUCUUUACCCUCAUUUUAUAAGUGAACAGUGGACUCAUACUUACGAAGCUUAUGAGGCUUUGUGACCUCGGGUAGGUAAUGUAGCUGUGCUUGCCUCAGUUGCCUUAUUUAUGACAUGGGAAUCUAAUUGCACCCACGUGAUAGGUCUGUUGUGAAGAUUAAGCGAGAUAAUGCAAACAAACUGCAGAGCACUGUGCCUGGCGUUAGAAAAUGUUGCUUCUUAUUAUUGAAAAAGGAAAUAUGGAUUACGGGGAUCUUAUAACAGGCAGGAGGAGUUCAGGCCCUGUGAUCUAGCCCUGAGAAGGUGGAUAAGCACUUGGUGUUCCUUUGCUUCAUUGCUUCUCCUGUUUCCUGAUCCUAUGCCUGGGUUAACUCUUGCUUUGCUGGACUUUCCUCUCUCUGCUGUCUCCAACGGGAUGACAAAGAUAGCGGCAGAUGCCAUGAGGACGAGGCCUGUGGCUCAGAUCUUCUUUGGAUCCCCCAGGGCCCCUCACAGGAUGUUUUGCACAUAAUAAGUGCUCAGGAAGUGUCUGUGUGUUGAUACCUGCAUGGGGAGGGGGCCACUCCAAAAAGGGAAAAUGCUACUGAACACCUGUCUGGAGGUGGGAAUUUACAUGAACGAUUCUGGCCUCGCAGGGAAAUUUUCUCCCAGUCCUCUCUGGCUCCCAUUUUCCUUUGGUCAAAGUUCAGUUACCAGCAGCCACCUCUUCACACCUUUGGCUUUUGUCCACUUGACUCCAGCAGCCAUUCAGGAACCAGAACCAGCAUGCUGCCUGGUGCUGCAUUCCAUCCAUUCCCUGUUUCAGCCCAGGUGGAGGACUGACAAGGAGAAGGAAGGAAGGGGAAGACUGAGAGGACACUCGAGAGGUCCAAAGCUGCACUUUGUCUUUCGUCUUCUGCUUUUUCCUUUAGUUAACACAUUAUUUGUAAGUAAUAAUGUACUGCAUUAAGUAAUUAAGUAAUGAAUGCAUACAGUCCUCAUAUAUUGCAUCGGUACAAAAGUAAUUGUGAUUUUUGCCAUUACUUUCAAUGGCAAAAAGAGCAAUUACUUUUGCACCAACCUCAUAUAUGUAUAAAAGUAUUCAAGCAAACAGAAAAAAGUAUGACUUCUCUCUCUGAAGGUCAUUGCUGUUAUCACAUUAGCAUUUAUCCAGAUGCUUUUAUUUAUUUAAAUGUAUACAUACACAUACACACAUAGAAAGAAAAAUGUGCCUUUGUGUUUUAUGCAUAUUUUAUCUAAUAAAUAAUAUUAUUCUGCAUUUAUUGUUUGUAGCUUUUUUUUUCUCCUUAGUUAUAUACCUUACCAUGUUGGCACUCAAUCUUUUUACCUGCUACAUGAUAGAAGUUUGUAGUAUCAUUAUGCUACAUUUCAUUUAAUUAAUCUUUUACUAAUGGAGACUUAGGUUGUUUUUAUUUUUCUUUAUAUAGUGAGCAUUAUAAAACAUGAAUUGUUAUACAUAGGUACUUGUUUUUCUCCAAGACAAAUGCCUUUUCACUGGUAUUGCUGGUCCUUUAGGUAAGUUUUCUUUUAUACUGUUUGCUAAAAUAUUAUUUUCUUCAUUAAAGUCUUAGAAAUUUUUGUGAGCUGUAUUCUUAGCUAGUUUCAUAAUUUCUAUUAUGAACAAGAAUCUGUUAUUCUGUUAUAUUUUAUAAUGCAUUGUCUUUGGUGUAUAGGAAAAGCUAUUGUUUUUUUACUUUAUUUGUAUAUUUUUUAAAUAAAAUUAUUUUAUUUGUUGUAGAGAUGGGAUCUU
rnacentral:lncRNA from 1 species